rnacentral:rRNA from 1 species
UACGGGGGGGGCAAGCGUUGUUCGGAAUUACUGGGCGUAAAGGGCUCGUAGGUGGCCAACUAAGUCAGACGUGAAAUCCCUCAGCUUAACUGGGGAACUGCGUCUGAUACUGGAUGGCUUGAGUUUGGGAGAGGGAUGCGGAAUUCCAGGUGUAGCGGUGAAAUGCGUAGAUGUCUGGAGGAACACCGGUGGCGAAGGCGGCAUCCUGGACCAACACUGACACUGAUGAGCGAAAGCCAGGGGAGCAAACGGG